UUGACCCAAUUCCUGGGUUGUUUGGGUUUCUGGGUUAUUUUUCAAAGGUUAACCCAUGUUCUGGGUUAACGCCCCGCCCCUCGCUGUUCUGGAAUUUUCUCACAACAGUCGAUUGAAAUAACUGUCACCGGAGUUCGCGGCGCGCUCGAUCCGUUUUGGCCUGGGCUUCUUCGUUGUGUAUUCAAGGUCUGUUUAAAUGGACAGCUUUGUCACUGACAAGUUAACUGAGUGGCGGCUGUUUGAGCUGACAGAGACAUUUUUGAGGCCAUCUACAGGGUUGAGAAGAAGACUAUCCGGCAUUCCACUGAAUCCCUGACAGCGUUCAUACACCAAAUGUCUGUUGGAACAAAUAUGGUGGAAUACAGUGGCGGCUCGUGACUGCUCAUCAGAGGAUGCGCUAAUUCAAAAUAAGUGUUCAGAUUGUCACGUGUGUGGUUCCCUUUUCCAAAAUAUGUGUCCUGCGUGUCGAGAGAUCCUGUGUACAUCACGUGUUUUGUCAAAAUAAGUGCCUGCUGCACACGCGUCAAAACCGUUUAUGAUAAAAGAGACGCUCAUGUUUCUAAAAUACACGCCAGACACUUCCUUAACAGUAAACUCCUAUUAUGCAUGAGAUUAUGCGAGUAUCUGGCAAACGCGAGGAUCUCUUUUAUCAUAAACCCUUUAAACGCGUCUGCAGCAGGAACUUAUUUUGACAUGACACGUGAUGCACACAGGAUCUCUCGAUGGGCAGAAUACAUAUUUUAAAAUUACAAACCACACACAUGACAAGCUACAUACAUGUUGUGACGAACUUUGCAUCGAGCAUCCUCGAAUAAAGAAGUCACCGGCCAGCACUGGUGGAAUACCUUCAGCAAUCGAAGCCGUUCCCCUCUGGGAGAUCUCAAGCUGCACACAACCAAUGUUUGAAGACUUAAAGCCUCAAGUUCAAUCCAAUUAUUGAAUGUUGUCAAAUGUUUGAGAGUUGUUUAUUAUUCUAUUUUUCCUUUCUAAUGUUAUUACAGUGUGACCUAAAAUAAAUAGGUCCAAGUGUGCAUUUUUAUAUAGAAUUUAAUUGAAUCCAAUAAAAAUUUAAAACUG